GGGUCCGUAGCUCAGCGGUAGAGCGGGCGACUCAUAAUCGCUUGGUCGUUGGUCCGACUCCAACCGGACCCA
rnacentral:tRNA from 2 species